CCCGCUGAACUUAAGCAUAUCAAUAAGCGGAGGAAAAGAAACUAACAAGGAUUCCCCUAGUAACUGCGAGUGAAGAGGGAAAAGCUCAAAUUUUGAAUCUGGCGGUCUUUCGGUCGUCCGAGUUGUAAUCUAGAGAAGCGUCUUCCGCGCUGGACCGUGUAUAAGUUUCCUGGAAUGGAACGUCGUAGAGGGUGAGAAUCCCGUCUUUGACACGGACUACCAGGGCUAUGUGAUGCGCUCUCGACGAGUCGAGUUGUUUGGGAAUGCAGCUCAAAUAGGGUGGUAAAUUCCAUCUAAAGCUAAAUACAGGCGAGAGACCGAUAGUGAACAAGUACCGUGAGGGAAAGAUGAAAAGAACUUUGGAAAGAGAGUUAAACAGUACGUGAAAUUGCUGAAAGGGAAACGCUUGAUGUCAGUCGCGUCGGCCGGGGAUCAGCCUUGCUUAACCGCUCGGCGUACUUCCUGGCAGACGGGUCAGCAUCAGUUUCGAUCGUCGGAGAAUGGCUCGAGGAAUGUGGCACUCUUCGGAGUGUGUUAUAGACUCGGGUCGAAUACGACGCUCGGGACCGAGGAACUCAGCACGACCUUCACCGGUUCGGAGCUUCGGCUCACGUUAACGUGCUUAGGAUGCUGGCAUAAUGGCCUUAAGCGACCCGUCUUGAAACACGG
rnacentral:rRNA from 1 species